AUGCAAAGUCCAAUCAGAAAUCAAGGUCUUACCAUUUGUCAUUGCUUUCAGAUGAAUAGUUAAAUUGGAUGCAUCUUUAGAAACCAGCACAGUGCUAGGUUUUGAGUAUAAGGAUUCAGAGUGCUUUAUUAGCUUCCUACUGAAAACAAACUUGAAAUUUCAAGAUGAAGAGGGCAGAGUAAUGAAUGGCAAGAGGCCUAUUAAGUUUCUCUUUACUCUAUUUAAAUUUAUAAAAGCAGAUCGAAGG
rnacentral:lncRNA from 1 species